rnacentral:miRNA from 1 species
UACUGGCCUUCAAACUUCUUA